UACAGAGGUCUCAAGCGUUGUUCGGAUUCAUUGGGCGUAAAGGGUGCGUAGGCGGCGCGGUAAGUCGGGUGUGAAAGUCUUGGAGCUUAACUCCGAAACUGCAUUCGAUACUGCCGUGCUUGAGGACUUGGAGAGGAGACUGGAAUUUACGGUGUAGCUGGUGAAAUGCGUAGAUAAUCGUAAGGAAGACCAGUGGCGAAGGCGGGUCUCUGGACAGUUCCUGACGCUGAGGCACGAAGGCCAGGGGAGCAAACGGG
rnacentral:rRNA from 1 species